rnacentral:rRNA from 1 species
AAAUUAGGCUUGGUUUUCCAAAAAAUAACUAUAAUUUUUUUAUGGCUUUUUUUAAAAAAAAAGAAACAGAAAAUAAAAUUUACUUAAUAAUAAAAAAUUAUUGAGAUUUAUAGUUAAAUUUAGCUAAUU